rnacentral:rRNA from 1 species
CUCCCAACCAAUUGUGAACUACCUUCAACGUUGCUUCGGCGGGUUGGCCCCGGUCUCCGGGGUCCCCGGCCCUACUCGGGCGCCCGCCGGAGGUAUCUAACUCUUGAACUUUUAUGGCCUCUCUGAGUCUUUGUACUUAAUAAGUCAAAACUUUCAACAACGGAUCUCUUGGUUCUGGCAUCGAUGAAGAACGCAGCGAAAUGCGAUAAGUAAUGUGAAUUGCAGAAUUCAGUGAAUCAUCGAAUCUUUGAACGCACAUUGCGCCCGCCAGUAUUCUGGCGGGCAUGCCUGUUCGAGCGUCAUUUCAACCAUCAAGCCCCCGGCUUGUGUUGGGGACCUGCGGCUGCCGCAGGCCCUGAAAACCAGUGGCGGGCUCGCUAGUCACUCCGAGCGUAGUAAUACAUCUCGCUCAGGGCGUGCUGCGGGUUCCGGCCGUUAAAAAGCCUUAUUUACCCAAGGUUGACCUCGGAUCAGGUAGGAAGACCCGCUGAACUUAAGCAUAUCA